rnacentral:tRNA from 2 species
GGACCUAUAGCUCAGCAGGAUAGAGCAACGGCCUUCUAAGCCGUGUGUCGGAGGUUCGAAUCCUCCUAGGUUCGCCA